rnacentral:rRNA from 1 species
AUGGCAGAAUGCUUCAAUAAGGUGCUCAAGGGUGUACGUGCAUUACCCGUGACGACAAUAGUUCAAUACACAUUUGACAAGUUGAAUGAAUACUUUUUAAAGCACUCAAUGGAGACUGAUAAGCAGAUUGCUGGUGAGAACAAGGAUAAGCACAAGUACAAUUUCCCACCAAAGGUCGAAGAAUGGUUGGAAUUUCAAUCACGAAAGGCAGACUCCGAAGAAGCUGUACUAUAUGACGACAAGGAGUGGAAGUAUGAGGUGAAAGAGCCCGGAGGAACCACAAAUGAUGGCCGCCAACACGGAGGCCGGGCUUUCAAGGUCUCCCUAACACGGUGUGAUUGCAGCUGCAUGAGGCCGUCUUUGCUUCAUCUCCCAUGCUCGCACUUGUUAAAUGCAUCCCGGGUUAGGAAUGUGGACGUCAAUCACCCUCUUACCGUGAGGGAGUCCGAGUUCUCAAUCAUGACGGUAAAGAAUACAUGGACUCCACGGUUCCAGCCAUACUUGGAUUUCGAAGCCAACCCCUCCCUUAAGGUAAUCUCCUCCGAUCCCCUCGUUUUCAUCCAUAGGAAUCGUCACAUUUGCUUAAAUCUUGCUAGUUUGGGGGAAACCCUAGUUUUUGAUAGGAUUUGGAAAUUUGUGUUUCUUUGCUAA